AAAAGAUCAGGACAAGGUUAUGAUUUCUCACCCAAGUUCCUGGGAAAAAGGAUCAUGAGGGAAUUACUUAUUAACAAGGAAAAAGCAAAGAGGAACUUUACAAACUGUUACAGUUUUCCAUCAUCACUUGACUGCUGACAAGAAACCUCUUUGAAUUCCAGUAUACACAAUCACAUUUUAAAACCUUCAAGACGCCGUUUAAUCAGGAGUUGUAAGGCACAUUUGUUAGAGAGAGCUGCACUUUAAAAAUUAUACAGACAUCACCUGAAGUUAUUAAAGUUAUCAAAACAUAUUAAAAACCUUCAAGUAAGAGGCUACUCCCCAGGAAACGUGUGGAGCCAGUGAACAGAAGAAAAACAAUGGAAGGAAGGCUUGAAAAGUCCAUUACAAAACUACAGUCCUUUGAAAAAGAUUUCAAAGAUAUUAAAAUGAAAACUGAUUACAUUAAACAAUAA
rnacentral:antisense_RNA from 1 species